UUAUGAUAGGACUAAUAAUGCAAGGUCUGUUGUGUUUGGAUUUGUAAGCUAAUCUGACAUAAUGCCUUACAAUAUAGAAUUAAAUCAUCUAACGAGUAGAAACCUCAACGAGACAUUUGUACGCUUUCAUGCCUUUUAAAGACUAAUAAUGCAAGGUCUGUUGUGUUUGGAUUUGUAAGCUAAUCUGACAUAAUGCCUUACAAUAUAGAAUUAAAUCAUCUAACGAGUAGAAACCUCAACGAGACAUUUGUACGCUUUCAUGCCUUUUAAAUUAUGUAAAACCAACUCCUGAAACUCGAUUCAUGAUAGCGAAAUGGCCAUUUUGCAUAAUCUGCUGGGAUGAGUGUCAAGUGUUCUGGUUUCAUCCUCUAUUCCUGUUGAUUAGUCUUCUGUCAGUGGUGUUAAUUGAAAGCAGCUAAGUGCUUGUUGACGAAAUGAGGAUUGCCUAAAUAAUUGGUGACCACUUCCCUCACUUUUUGCAGCAUCUAUAGAGUUAAGAAUAUAGCAGAGAAGACUAGAGUUUUAAUUUGUUUCUCCCUUGUAUUCCGCUUUUCUCCUUUCUGGAGAAGAAUUAAGUACAUACUUUAAAGGGAUUCUCUCCUUAAUUUAUUGUUCAUGCAAUAUAUAUUAAAAACAAUGCAAAGAAGUCAAGAAUAACG
rnacentral:lncRNA from 1 species